AAAAAAAAAAAAAGGGUGCCAUUCAAGCCAGCACACGGAGGUAAUGCUCAAGAUGCAAGCUUGAUUUCCAAAAUCUCAACACUUGGAGCAAAUUGGUAAGUCUGCAAUUUUGUCUAUUCUGGGAGCUGUGCAAAUGCAAUGCCUGUUGGAGCAGACACCAGUUGCAGGUAAUUGGGUAAUUACUUGGCAGGGCAGUAUUCAGCUGUAGGUAAUGGGGUAGAUAGGUCCCCUCCCCCUUUUCUUCCUUCCCUUUCUCCUUCCUGGCUGUGAGGCUGAAGCCCCAGGAGUAUGAGGGCUUCUGAUCUGGCAGAUACUUCUAGGAACAAGGAGCGGCUCAGAGGAACGUGGCUCACAAUGCCUUUCUUUUCCUCGGGUGUUUACUACUUUAGCGGUUUCCAGCAGUGAUCGCUGAGAGAGCACGUUGUUUCAGGCGUGCUGGUAAGUAGUGGAAGUAAAAAGACCUUCGGGUCUAACUAUCCUCCUUCCUUAUCGGUAAGUGUUUGGUCCUCUUUCCCCAGAUGUGGGUUGCACAUUUGGUAUCAUUAUUUUGGUGUGGGCUUUACCUUUUUAUAGGUAAAGUCGUUACCCUGGCGAUUCACACAGCUCAAUCAUCUUUGAUUUCAGCCCCGAUUCCUGGGCAGAUAUAGGGUUCACAGGUUUUUACCAGAUAUUGGUUUCUACACCCCACAGUGGGGUUUUCACUUGGUUUGGGAUGUUUCUGGAAUAGAUUUAUACUCUGGGAUCCAGACUUCCUUCCUUUGUGGAACUUUUACCCUCCCGAUUAGGGAUAUUAGCUUGCUAUGUCCCAGUAAGUGUUGACAUGGAGUGGCCAGGGAAUGAGGAAAAUUGUAUCAUACUUACCGUGAUUUUCCUUUCCUGGCCACUCCAUGUCAAGAUUCCCACCCUUUUUCGGUAAGUUUCUAGAAGCUCAUUACUAGACACCGGAGUGGAGGUAGGGUUGGUCUUUUAAAGCUUUGGGGAGGGUCCUUCUGAUGGGAGCAGAGGGGAGGGGC